rnacentral:piRNA from 1 species
CAGAGAGAUGGUAAGCAGCUGUAUGA